rnacentral:lncRNA from 1 species
CGGGGGCUGGAGCCGACGCGGCUCAGGGCGCGCGGGAGCCGAAGGGAAACGUAGUCCCGUGAGCCGCGCGGACGAGGUGGGAGGUUGCGAGAAGGACUACACUGCCCACAAUACCUCACGCCGGAAGCCUGCUGUAAGCUGCCGCGCGCAAGAGGGCGAGGGGGUGGGAUCCGCCUUAGGAAAGAGUCUUCAAGUCGCAAAGUGCGAGUCGCUGCGCCCACCGCCUGGACGUCCUUGGGCUCCCAGAACGAGUGGCUGAAGGAGAGCGGAAAGAAAGCGCCUACCACUCCCAGAGCGCUUCGCGCGACGAUCCCGCCCUCACAGCCUGAGAGGCCCAACCCUUGGCCUCGGCCCUGUUGCCCUUCACCGUGGCUUCGGCCGCUGGGGGCCUGAGUCCCCCAGUUCUCACACUUUACAAUGACUUGAGCAGCUUAACCUUUCUCCUUUCCCAUCUGCAGACCAGAACUCGUGCACCUUCAGUCCGAAGGUUACCUCUGCCUCCGCGGCGUCAACUGCCCCCCUCUCCUGACCGGAACUUGCCCGGCUGACAAAUCCAGAGAUUUUGAAGACCAGGUUCAGUCUACACUCAGUUUUCA